AGUUUCACAGUUCCUUUUUCUGAUGAUGCUUUGUGUAUUUCUUACAGUUGCCUUUGCAGGGAGUGCGUGUGGUGACUUAGUGCCCAAGCAGUUCCUAAAAGGAAUUCAGUCACUGUUGUCAGGAUUCUCUGGGAAGCUGACUUGGCCUUCAGAGGAAGCUCACUGUGCCCAGGACCUGGCAGGAUUGGCAUCCUUUCAGAUAAAAAUUGAGGCAAGUUUGGGAAGUACUUCUAUAAACUCUUGUGUUUACUUUUUUAAAAAAAAGUACAGUAGUAGAUGUAAUUAUAAUGACCAGUCUUUACCCUUGAGAAGAGAUGAAGAAUUCUCUCCUUUUUUUCCACUUAGCAGCUACAUUUAACACUGCUGCCCAUUCUCUUCUCUCUGGGUCUUCAUGACCCUAAUGUCUCCUGGUCCUCCUCAUUUUCGUCUUCUGGCCUGUUGUUUGUAUCACUCCCCCUAACUGUGAGUGUUCUUCCUCAGGGCUCUGUCCUAGCCCUCUUCUCUCUUUCUCUCUCAAGGGUUCUUCACCUGGGGUAUGGGAACUUGUUUUUUAAAAGAUAUUUUGUUAACUGUAUUUCAAUAUAAUUGGCUUUCCUUGUAAUCCUAUAUGUUUUAUUUUAUGCAUGUUAAAACCUUACUUUGAGAAAGGGUCCAUGGUUUCCUGCUUCUUGACACACAAAAGACUCUGUUGCUGAUCUUCCCUCUGUCUCUUGCAGUGGCUUUCACGGAUUUCACUGUCCCAUCUCUAAAGAUGAUUCUUAGGUCUGCCUUUCUAGCCCUCAUCUUUCCCUUGAGCUGGAGCUCAGCAGUUGUCUACUGGACGUUUCAGACUGGAUGUCCCCGAGACAUCUCAAACUCAACUUGUGCUAGACCUAAAAACCCGUCUUCCAACUGCCCUGUGGAAGGUACAGCCGUUUCCAUAAUUCCCCCCUGGUUGCACCCUCAGUGUUGGCCUCCAUGCCUCCUUCUCCUUUACUGGACACAUCCGAUCACUUGCCAAAUCUUGUCCUUUCUACCUUCAUGACAUUUCUCGCAUUCCCACCCCUAAAGAGUGGAUGCUGUUGGUACUCUCAGGAUUCUGUCAUGUAAGGAAGGGGCUCCACUGCUGUGCUCCCCACUUAUAAUGAACUCAUUGAAUACCUUUUAGAAAACACACUUACUGAGAAAGUAAAGCAAAAGCAGUUUGGUGCAAACGUUCUCCUCAACCUGGGAGUGUGCUCUUCCCCACCCACACAAAUUCCCUGGGGAAAGAGGGCACCAGCUGAAAGUACAGUUGUGGUGAGAUGCAUGGGUCGGCAAUCCGUGUCAAACGGGUGUCUCUGAGCUCCUCCCUUUGAGGAGGGGCUCUCUCCUUAGAU
rnacentral:lncRNA from 1 species